CAAACAGGAGCAAGCACCGUCAGAAGUGGCUGAGGCUGUGAAUGAAAGCACAGUGCUCAGGGCGAACACUGUGGAAGGACUCAUCAUUUCACAGUGGGCUCAUUAGCAUUUCCUCACACACAGGCAGUGACCACCAUUGUGGGGUAUCACCCUUGGAUAAAGCACAGCUGAAAUAUCAGAUGCUCAGAGGGACAUGACUUCUAUUUGAAUGAAUGUUGAAUCUCACU
rnacentral:lncRNA from 1 species